rnacentral:lncRNA from 1 species
AUACCAUGAGAUUUAUCAACCAAGCAUGUCACAAAGAAAAGAUUUCAUAAGACAGUCAUAAGGAUGUAAACCAGUCAAGAGAAAUACGAUAAAACACGCUAGGAAAGAAAUAACAAUGACUGUUUUCUCAAACGAAGUUCGAAUCCUGGUUCCUUACAAGACUAAAAGGAUAUCAAAAUAUUAAUUUAAUUAAUUCAUUAGUGAUUAAUACUCAAGGGGAGAAAGAAUUAUAAAGCCAACAAGUUGAUUUCAUACUACAUAAACCAUGGAUCGCACAAGCAACGUUCAGGUUUCAGAAUUCCAAACAUACAAGAGUUACAUACUUAAUCACUCCAGGAGAGGAAAACAA